CAGUCGCCGCGGUAAUACGUAGGUGGCAAGCGUUGUCCGGAAUUAUUGGGCGUAAAGGGCUCGCAGGCGGUUUCUUAAGUCUGAUGUGAAAGCCCCCGGCUCAACCGGGGAGGGUCAUUGGAAACUGGGAAACUUGAGUGCAGAAGAGGAGAGUGGAAUUCCACGUGUAGCGGUGAAAUGCGUAGAGAUGUGGAGGAACACCAGUGGCGAAAGCGACUCUCUGGUCUGUAACUGACGCUGAGGAGCGAAAGCGUGGGGAGCGAACAGGAUUAGAUACCCCUGUAGUCCCUGUCUCUUAUAC
rnacentral:rRNA from 1 species